GUCGAGCGAACAGAUAAGGAGCUUGCUCCUUUGACGUUAGCGGCGGACGGGUGAGUAACACGUGGGUAACCUACCUAUAAGACUGGGAUAACUUCGGGAAACCGGAGCUAAUACCGGAUAACAUUUGGAACCGCAUGGUUCUAAAGUGAAAGAUGGUUUUGCUAUCACUUAUAGAUGGACCCGCGCCGUAUUAGCUAGUUGGUAAGGUAACGGCUUACCAAGGCAACGAUACGUAGCCGACCUGAGAGGGUGAUCGGCCACACUGGAACUGAGACACGGUCCAGACUCCUACGGGAGGCAGCAGUAGGGAAUCUUCCGCAAUGGGCGAAAGCCUGACGGAGCAACGCCGCGUGAGUGAUGAAGGGUUUCGGCUCGUAAAACUCUGUUAUUAGGGAAGAACAAAUGUGUAAGUAACUGUGCACAUCUUGACGGUACCUAAUCAGAAAGCCACGGCUAACUACGUGCCAGCAGCCGCGGUAAUACGUAGGUGGCAAGCGUUAUCCGGAAUUAUUGGGCGUAAAGCGCGCGUAGGCGGUUUCUUAAGUCUGAUGUGAAAGCCCACGGCUCAACCGUGGAGGGUCAUUGGAAACUGGGAAACUUGAGUGCAGAAGAGGAAAGUGGAAUUCCAUGUGUAGCGGUGAAAUGCGCAGAGAUAUGGAGGAACACCAGUGGCGAAGGCGACUUUCUGGUCUGUAACUGACGCUGAUGUGCGAAAGCGUGGGGAUCAAACAGGAUUAGAUACCCUGGUAGUCCACGCCGUAAACGAUGAGUGCUAAGUGUUAGGGGGUUUCCGCCCCUUAGUGCUGCAGCUAACGCAUUAAGCACUCCGCCUGGGGAGUACGACCGCAAGGUUGAAACUCAAAGGAAUUGACGGGGACCCGCACAAGCGGUGGAGCAUGUGGUUUAAUUCGAAGCAACGCGAAGAACCUUACCAAAUCUUGACAUCCUUUGAAAACUCUAGAGAUAGAGCCUUCCCCUUCGGGGGACAAAGUGACAGGUGGUGCAUGGUUGUCGUCAGCUCGUGUCGUGAGAUGUUGGGUUAAGUCCCGCAACGAGCGCAACCCUUAAGCUUAGUUGCCAUCAUUAAGUUGGGCACUCUAGGUUGACUGCCGGUGACAAACCGGAGGAAGGUGGGGAUGACGUCAAAUCAUCAUGCCCCUUAUGAUUUGGGCUACACACGUGCUACAAUGGACAAUACAAAGGGCAGCUAAACCGCGAGGUCAUGCAAAUCCCAUAAAGUUGUUCUCAGUUCGGAUUGUAGUCUGCAACUCGACUACAUGAAGCUGGAAUCGCUAGUAAUCGUAGAUCAGCAUGCUACGGUGAAUACGUUCCCGGGUCUUGUACACACCGCCCGUCACACCACGAGAGUUUGUAACACCCGAAGCCGGUGGAGUAACCAUUUAUGGAGCUAG
rnacentral:rRNA from 1 species